CCUUCCGCGCGCGCGGAUCGUCUGCCCACUGUGUACCGCGGCGCCAGCAUGUUUCAACGAGACAUGAGUACUUGCACUUUUUUGCCACAGACACCCUAGGGCUUACGCUCCCACACCGCCUCAUAUUGUCCGGCAAAAAAGGACGCGGUGGGUGGCCGGCAGCUUCUCUUCUUUCACUCCAACUCUUCAGUUUAUCUUCUG
ensembl:ncRNA F13H6.8 ncRNA